AAACCCUAAAGACAGAGACCGUCUUCCUCGUACCCUCUUCUCUCCUCCGUUGUUCCUCCGUCGACGCCGCAGGCCGGAAAUCGUCUCCGCCAGUGGCGAAGCCCCAAUCGUCCCCAUAAAACACCAUAGACUCAUCUUCCCCUCCUCUUUCCAACCCCUAAAAUAAUGUCCUUCAAAUCCCCACCAAUUUUCUCGAUUAUCAGAUCAAAAAUAUCGGCCAAAAUGCAAAGUCAUCCAAACAACACCAAACUUACACCCCUGAAUCUCCUCAACUCCCUCAACCCAAAUCCACAACAACUUUCCCUUGAAUAUCAGCUGAACGUUUCAAAUUUCAAAUCGAAAAUUUCGCCCAAAGCACAAGUUUGUCCAAACGAUCCCAAAUUCACACCACGUAACCCCCUCGCCUCCCUCAUGACGCCUCUACCAUUGAUGGCGUUCAAAUAUCACCAGAUGCACUCGAAUUUUGAAUUGAGAGGAAGUGGAACGUUGAGUCUUAACAGUGAGUUCUUAACCCAAAUUUGUUUCUGUUUCUUCUCUUCUUCUUUCAUGUUGUUGUGAAUUAAUUACGUGAUGGUGCUUCAUGAUUAGUUGAUAACAUAAGUUUGGUUUUCAAUUUCGUCAUUCAUUUAGGCAUAGUUUCAUUCAAGUACUUUAAGUGUAGUUUUUAUUGACAUGUUUCUUAUUCGAAUUGAUUUGGUUCUCAUAAUUAUUAAUCUCUAGGCUAAUUUUCAUUUUUUGAUUUCUACGAUCUCUGUUCUGAUUUUUGUGUUCGGAUUAUGUGUUGUUUUUUCAUUGUUUGUUUUGUAUUUACUCUAAGUUCUGAUUUUAGUUUUGAUUAUCAGGUUAAUUCUUGUUCAAUAAGUCUUUAAUCGACCUCAUUUGGGUUUUGCUAGUCUUAAUUUGUUUUCAGUCAUUUCUACCUUAUUACAAAAAGAACACAAAUAUGAAAAUUCCCAUAAAGGGUUCUCCAAGUUUUCCAACUGAAAUUUGAAUUUUAAAAUUCCAAAUCUUCAAAAAACCAAAAACAAAAGAAAAAUAUAACAUAAAAUUCAAAAAUAUAAAUGUUCCAUCGAAUUGAUUGAUCAAUUUCGAGUUUCAAUAGUUGAUUCACAUCUUCUAGCCUAGUUUCUGAUUUGUUGGAGCUUUUCUGAAGUCUAAUGGUUCAAUUUUGGAUGUGUUCGAGUUCAUUUGGGUUUGAUUUGGGUUAAAUAUUGGCGUUUUAAUUCUGCGGUCCACUUCUGGGUUCUAUGACGCUGUAUUGAUUCUAAAAUUGUCCUUGUUGCUGCUGGUUUACAUCUGUUGUUGUGCUAUUUGCUACUGAUUCUCCUUCUUGUUUCAUUUUGCUAUAACUACAGGUACACUACUGUAGAUCUCAAAUUUUGGACUGAAAAUAAAAUGAUGCUCGUUUGUUUCUUUGCGCUAUCAACUGGUUCAUGAUUUUGUUGCAUCUUCGGGUAAAAUGACCUAGUUUCCUUUAAAAUUGAAAGGUGUUAUUGUUUAUUGGACAUAAGUUUGUAGCUGUUUAUACUGAAGUUGAUUAGAACUGUUCAUAGAAUUAAAAACUGUUCGGGGCUGUAAUUAGGGACUGCGUGAAUUUGUUUGGUUUUUUCAUCUAUUUCAC
rnacentral:lncRNA from 1 species